GUCAAUGCGUUUUCUAAGUUGCCCUGCGCGCCUCUCUCAGCCUCUCUCUCUCUGUGUCUCUCUCUCUCUCUCUUCUUGUCGCCCAAGCCUUGCCCCUCUGUUUCUCUGUUGCUAACUCUUUCUGCUGUGCCCCCUGAAACCAUAUUUCCGAAAGUCAUAGCCGGGACCCCAUACCAAAACACCAACCUUGUUAGUGUUGUAUUUACAGAUGCCUUCUUCAAAGGGAAAGAAGCAUUCAAAGAACCAAUCAAGGUUGUCGAAUUCUGACAACUUUUCUUAACCUGGGUCACUUGAUUUUGAAGCUACUGAUGAGAGUUUCGCAAGCUCUCUUGAACAAGCUUCGGUUAAAUACCCAUCUCUGAUUCAGAACGACCCCAAAAGCUGUAAAAUUUGACUUUCAGAACCUUCCAUUCCAAUGUCGCCUCUUCCUUCUCUCCUGGAUCCAUUGUUGCGGUGUCUCUUCCUUUUUUGAAGAGUAGAUUUUCAGAUGGAUUUCCUCUCAGCUCAUUAGCAGAUGAAUGUGCUAGACGUUUUGGGGUUGAUUCUUGCGGGCAGUUAACUAAUGACGCAGGGAACUACUUUGCUCUUGCAAUGAUUUUUCCUUCUUCUAAGAUUACAAAUAACGGUGUGCUAUUGUCUUCAAAUCUUUCCAAUACAAUGGGUUGUCCUCCAUCAGGCAGGGUCAUAUUCAUCCACUACGUACAAAAUCAAUCCCAAGCUGGUCUUGUAUGUGAUACAAGAAAAGCGCGUAGAACUAAAGUUAAUUGUGUCUCGGUAUACGACUGCAAGGAUGUGUUCAUAAGUUAUGGUCCUCCUUUUAUUACAUUCAUUCAUGAAUAUCUUUUUUUUAUAGUUAGUUUUGGUUUACGAUGUGCAAAGGGAGUGCUUCUUCAUGAUCCUCCUGUUAGAGUUUUUGUAAAGAAUAGUGGAGAGA